CAUUGAAAUAUCGGUUCCCUUACGAUCAUCGAAGUUAAGCAACGUUGAGCCUGGUCAGUAUCAAGAUCGGUGACCGUUUGGGAUUAUCAGGUUCUGUA